AACCUCCUACGGGAGGCAGCAGUGGGGAAUAUUGCACAAUGGGGGGAACCCUGAUGCAGCGACGCCGCGUGGGCGAUGGAGUGCUUCGGCAUGUAAAGCCCUAUCAGCAGGGAAGAAAAUGACGGUACCUGACUAAGAAGCCCCGGCUAACUACGUGCCAGCAGCCGCGGUAAUACGUAGGUGGCAAGCGUUGUCCGGAUUUACUGGGUGUAAAGGGCGUGUAGCCGGGUUGACAAGUCAGAUGUGAAAUCCUGCGGCUUAACCGCAGAACUGCAUUUGAAACUGUUGACCUUGAGUACUGGAGA
rnacentral:rRNA from 1 species